GCCAAGUGGAUCAAGGCAGUGGAUUGUGAAU
rnacentral:tRNA from 25 species